ACCGUUAAUCCUGCGGAAGGUUGCUGCUAUCAGGAUAUGACUAAGACAUGCAAGUCAGGGGCUCUUCGGAGCACCGGCAAAAGGCUCAGUAACACGUCGAUAAUCUGCCCUUAGGUUCGGAAUACCCUUGGGAAACUGAGAUUAACACCGAAUAGGGAAGUUCUACUGGAAUGUAUUCUUCUUCAACUAAGGAUGAGUCGGCGGCGGAUUAGUUUGUUGGCGGGGUAACGGCCCACCAAGGCGAAGAUCCGUAGGGGUCAUGAGAGUGAUAGCCCCGAGAAGGACACUGAGAUACUGGUCCUAGCCCUACGGGGUGCAGCAGUCGCGGAACCUUGUCAAUGCACGAAAGUGUGAACAGGAGAUCCUGAGUGCUCAUGCUUUGCAUGGGCUUUUGCCAAGAGUUAAAAUCUUGGCGAAUAAGUGGUGGGUAAGACAGGUGCCAGCAGCCGCGGUAACACCCGCGCCACGAGUGGCAACCACGAUUAUUUGGCCUAAAGCGUCCGUAGCCGGUUUAGUAAAUUCUCUGUGAAAUCGUUCAGCUCAACUGAACGGCGUGCAGAGGAGACUGCUAAACUUGGAACCAGGAGGAGUCAGAAGUAUUCCAGGGGGAACGGUAAAAUGUUAUAAUCCCUGGAGGACUACCUAUGGCGAAGGCAUCUGACCAGAAUGGAUUCGACGGUGAGGGACGAAAGCCAGGGGAGCGAACCGGAUUAGAUACCCGAGUAGUCCUGGCUGUAAACGCUGCGAGCAAGGCGUUGCACAUUCUCAAUGGAUGUGCAGUGUCGAAACGAAGGUGUUAAGCUCGCCGCCUGGGAAGUACGGCCGCAAGACUGAAACUUAAAGGAAUUGGCGGGGGAGCACUACAAGGGGUGCGGCGUGCGGUUUAAUCUCAACACAGAGAACCUCACCAGCAGCGACGGCAGAAUGAAGGUCAAGCUGAAGACUUUACCAGACAAGCCGAGAGGUGGUGCAUGGCCGUCGUCAGCUCGUGCCGUAAGGUGUCCUGUUAAGUCAGGCAACGAGCGAGACCUGUAUCCACAAUUGCUAGCAGCUCUAUCAGAGGACUGAGCACAUUGUGGGGACUGCCCUGGAAACAGGGAGGAAGGUGCAGGCUACGAUAGGUCUGUAUGCCCCGAAUCUGCUGGGCUACACGCGCGCAACAAUGGUAUGGACAAUGGGAUACAACUCCGAAAGGAGAAGUUAAUCCUCUAAACCAUAUCCUAGUCUAGAUUGAGGAUUGCAACUCAUCCUCAUGACAACGGAAUCCCUAGUAAUCAGAGUUUAUCAUACUCCGGUGAAUACGUCCCUGCUCCUUGCACACACCGCCCGUCAAGCCAACCGAGUUGGGUUUGGGUAAGGUUUAACUUUUUGGUUAGAUCGAAUCUAAGCUCGGUGAGGUGGGCUAAGUCGUCACAAGGUA
rnacentral:rRNA from 1 species